UCAGGCUUAUUUUUAUUUCCCAGUCAGCCCCGGACAUCAAGAAGCGGUUGCAGCAGCUCGAGGGUGCUGAAGGAAAAUCCCUGGAGGAACUGGUAAGCGUGGCCACCCGAGUAUAUCAUACAAGGGAAAAAGUUCAAGAGACCAAACAGGGGCUGCACUUUCUACCGUUACUGCCAAGCCGGAGAGAGGAAGCCUUACAGAUAAGAGCAUUCCGGUAAUGGGUAUAGGCGGGAAGCCAUUUGACUGUUCUGUAUUACAGGAGGCUGCUGUAGAAAUCUCUGGUGUCUCCGCCUCCCAUGCCUUUCUGCUAGCCCCGGAUUCCCCAGUUAAUCUCUUAGGCAGAGAUCUGUUGUGUAAACUACGUGCUCAGAUUUUCUUUUCAGAUGACAAAAUCAUUCUUCGGUUGCCUCAGACCCAACUUCCCCAGCUGUGUGCUGUUCUAACCCAAGUUUCAAAGGACCCGAUCCUGCCUGCGGACCCAAUCUUACCCGAGCGACUCAGACAGGAGGUAAACAUCUCCCUGUGGGGCACUUCAAGGGCAGACUUGGGGACUCUCCAGACAGAGCCAGUGCGUAUAACCCUGAAGCCAGGCAUUGAAAUUCCUCGGAUUCGUCAGUAUCCCAUCCCCCAGGAAGCUCUGCUUGGCCUCCGGAGUCUUAUCACCACAUUCCUGCGGUUGGGAGUGCUGGUUCACACCAAGUCUCCUUUCAAUACUCCCAUUCUGCCAGUAAAAAAACCUGACAUGGACUCAGAGGGAAAACCGGUAUACCGAUUUGUCCAGGACUUAUGUGCAGUAAAUAAGGUUGUUCAAACUAGACACAAUGUGGUACCAAACCCUCACACAAUCCUGACUGCCAUUCCAGCAGGUACUGCUUGUUAUUCAGUAAUAGACUUGUGUAAUGCUUUUUUUUAGUAUUCCUCUAGAUAAGGACAGCUGGGGCCACGCUUACCAAUUCAAUUUCAGUCCCUACUCGCUGAUGUUCCUGCCCACCGGAUCGCUCCAGGAGACUGGGUCUAUGUGAAAGAGUGGAAACACGAGCCUCUCCAACCCCGGUGGGCGGGCCCUUUCCAAGUCCUUCUUACCUCUCACACUGCUAUUCGAGUGAGAGAGCGAGACACUUGGAUACACCACACCCGAGUCAAGCUAGCCCCUAGGACGGGGCCAGAAGCAGACGACUUCGGACCUCGAGGGAGCACCGCCAGCUCUUCCCACCGCGACCCGGAAGAGCCAGAAACAGACGAUACCUGGAAAGCUGAACCUCUUGAGGGACUAAAGCUUCUGUUCCGGCAGACAAAAUCCUGAGACUUUAUAACUAUGGGUUCUCAGACGGUGCUGCAGUGGCUAUUGCUUUUGGGUUUGCCCCUUGUACAAGCUAACCCACACCCAGCCACUAAAACCUCUUCAGUGAAUAGCCACGUUGGGACACUUAUCUGAUUGUUGGCUGUGUCACAAAACUCGCUCUGAGGAAGGAAUAGGAUUGUGGGCUGUACCUGCAAAUCUUUCUGAAGUACUCUCCUUACAGGUAGAACGGAAAACUGAAUGGGCAUGGAUUGGGGAAUAUCAAUAUGA